GGUGAGGUGGCCGAGUGGCUGAAGGCGCGCCCCUGCUAAGGGCGUAUAUCUUAACGGGUAUCGAGGGUUCGAAUCCCUCCCUCACCGCCA
rnacentral:tRNA from 1 species